rnacentral:rRNA from 1 species
GACGAACGCUGGCGGCGUGCUUAACACAUGCAAGUCGAACGGAAAGGCCUCUUUCGGGGGGUACUCGAGUGGCGAACGGGUGAGUAACACGUGAGUAACCUGCCCUUGACUUUGGGAUAACUUCAGGAAACUGGGGCUAAUACCGGAUAGGAGCUCCUGCUGCAUGGUGGGGGUUGGAAAGUUUCGGCGGUUGGGGAUGGACUCGCGGCUUAUCAGCUUGUUGGUGGGGUAGUGGCUUACCAAGGCUUUGACGGGGAGCCGGCCUGAGAGGGUGACCGGCCACAUUGGGACUGGGAAACGGCCCAGACUCCUACGGGAGGCAGCAGGGGGGAAUAUUGCACAAUGGGUGGAAGCCUGAUGCAGCAACGCCGUGUGCGGGAUGACGGCCUUCGGGUUGUAAACCGCUUUCGCUCAUGACGAAGCUUUGUGUGACGGUAGUGGGUAAAGAAGCACCGGCUAACUACGUG